CCUACGGGGGGCAGCAGUGGGGAAUAUUGGACAAUGGGGGCAACCCUGAUCCAGCCAUGCCGCGUGUGUGAAGAAGGCCCUCGGGUUGUAAAGCACUUUCAGUGAGGAAGAACGCCUGGUGGUUAAUACCCAUCAGGAAAGACAUCACUCACAGAAGAAGCACCGGCUAACUCCGUGCCAGCAGCCGCGGUAAUACGGAGGGUGCGAGCGUUAAUCGGAAUUACUGGGCGUAAAGCGCGCGUAGGUGGCUUGAUAAGCCGGUUGUGAAAGCCCCGGGCUCAACCUGGGAACGGCAUCCGGAACUGUCAAGCUAGAGUGCAGGAGAGGAAGGUAGAAUUCCCGGUGUAGCGGUUAAAUGCGUAGAGAUCGGGAGGAAUACCAGUGGCGAAGGCGGCCUUCUGGACUGACACUGACACUGAGGUGCGAAAGCGUGGGUAGCAAACAGGAUUAGAUACCCGAGUAGUC
rnacentral:rRNA from 1 species